AACGAACGCUGGCGGCGUGCUUAACACAUGCAAGUCGAACGCGAACGUUUCCUUCGGGGAACUAGUAGAGUGGCGCACGGGUGAGUAACGCGUAAGUAACCUACCCUCGCAUUUGGGAUAACCCACCGAAAGGUGUGCUAAUACCGGAUACGUCUCAUUUAAUAUCUUUUGAUGAGAGAAAGGUGGCCUCUGAUUAAGCUACUGUGCGGGGAGGGGCUUGCGUACCAUUAGCUAGUUGGUAGGGUAACGGCCUACCAAGGCGAUGAUGGUUAGCGGGUCUGAGAGGAUGAUCCGCCACACUGGAACUGGAACACGGACCAGACUCCUACGGGAGGCAGCAGUGAGGAAUAUUGCGCAAUGGGGGCAACCCUGACGCAGCGACGCCGCGUGGAUGAUGAAGGCCUUCGGGUUGUAAAAUCCUGUCAGAUGGGAAGAAGUGGCAUGUAUAUAAUAUGUAGGUGUCUUGACGGUACCAUCAAAGGAAGCACCGGCUAACUCCGUGCCAGCAGCCGCGGUAAUACGGAGGGUGCAAGCGUUGUUCGGAAUUACUGGGCGUAAAGCGCGCGUAGGCGGCUGUAUAAGUCAGAUGUGAAAGCCCGCGGCUCAACCGUGGAAGUGCAUUUGAAACUGUAUGGCUUGA
rnacentral:rRNA from 1 species